GUGCCAGCCGCCGCGGUAAGACAGAGGGUGCAAACGUUGUUCGGAAUUACUGGGCGUAAAGCGCGUGUAGGCGGCUCGGAAAGUCGGGUGUGAAAGCCCUGGGCUCAACCCAGGAAGUGCACUCGAAACUCCCGAGCUCGAGUCCCGGAGAGGAAAGUGGAAUUCUCGGUGUAGAGGUGAAAUUCGUAGAUAUCGAGAGGAACAUCUGUGGCGAAGGCGGCUUUCUGGACGGUGACUGACGCUGAGACGCGAAAGCGUGGGGAGCAAACAGGAUUAGAUACCCUGGUAGUCC
rnacentral:rRNA from 1 species